CGCUGUGCGCAGGGCGAGCGCUACGCUCCCGCGCUGGCCGCGCAGCGGUGGCGGCUUGCGCUCCCUUCGAGUGCCGCCGCCGCGCUCCCGCGCCCCUCCCAGCUCGCCUCUGCGGUGCGGAGAGAGGGGCAGGACCUCUUUCCCCACGAAGGCGGCAGCAGGGCGCGGGCGGCGCUCGCGGGAGUAGUUUGGGGAAGAGGUGAAGAAGGUGCUGGAACUGCGCCGUUACUCUGCCCCGCUGGAGGGGCGGGGAGGAGCCGGUCUGACGGGCCUGGGAUCAGCUGUGUCUGGCUGUUGGGAGAGUCUUUCAAGAAACACAGAAAACCUGAAUUCUGCUGGUGAACUACUGAACCUCUUCUAAGACUGGAUGCAUUAAGAAUAAUUAACAAGGAAGAAAACAAAUUUGUGAGUGGAUAGAUGCAAGCAGACUAAGAAGAAUAGGAAGACAACCAUCCCUCCCCUGACCAAAUAAAGUGACAUUUUAAAGCAGCUCUUCCCACAUCACUCCCACUACAUUCAGCCAUUGCCCUGCCUGUUCAGGAGAACUUGCAAGAGACUAAGUUUGCUACUUCUGCCGUGGUGUAGGACAACCAGGAGAAGAAAAAAACGUGGUGCUUUUGUUAAUCCUGUUUGCUUCUGCUGCUGCCUUGCAUCCCUCCAACUCUUUCCUCAGAAGCCAAGCUGGAGCUGGUCUGCCUAGAAGAAAAAUGGCCUUUUUCUUGCAUGAGAGAGGAGCUGAGGAUGCACAAGAGAAG